GUUAGGUGUGUCACCGAACAGUAUACUGCCCGACGACUGGCAUUCAUCGUUUACGGUGUGGACUACCAGGGGUAUCUAAUCCUGUUUGCUCCCCACACUUUCGCACCUCAGCGUCAGUAUCGAGCCAGUGAGCCGCCUUCGCCACUGGUGUUCCUCCGAAUAUCUACGAAUUUCACCUCUACACUCGGAAUUCCACUCACCUCUCUCGAACUCAAGACACCCAGUAUCAAAGGCAGUUCCAGGGUUGAGCCCUGGGAUUUCACCUCUGACUUAAAUGUCCGCCUACGCGCGCUUUACGCCCAGUAAUUCCGAACAACGCUAACCCCCUCCGUAUUACCGCGGCUGCUGGCACGGAGUUAGCCGGGGUUUCUUUACCUGCUACAGUCAUUAUCUUCACAGGCGAAAGAGCUUUACGACCCUAAGGCCUUCUUCACUCACGCGGCAUGGCUAGAUCAGGCUUGCGCCCAUUGUCUAAGAUUCCCCACUGCUGCCUCCCGUAGG
rnacentral:rRNA from 1 species